UUUUUUUUUUUUUUUUUUGAGUCUCGUUCUGUCACCCAGGCUGGAGUGUAGUGGCGCGAUCUCGGCUCACUGCAUCCUCCACCUCCUGGAUUUAAGCGAUUCUCCUGCCUCAGCCUCCUGACCUAUGGCGUUUUUUUCCAGCUGCACAGAAACCGGGAUAUUGCCCAGAGUUUGAUCUUACCUGCCCUUUCACCCUCUUACCUAUGUGCCGGCGCGAUAAGGGUUGCAAGGGAGUCAAGAAGUGUUGCUACUACAACUGUCGGCAUCAGUGUAUGGAGCCCUGGUGGACUCUGGAUUGAGGUGGAAAGCCCUUCUUUACCAGGACUGAGGAGACACAGGUGCUACAGGCUCAGACUGGGAUAACUGGUCUCCAUGUUGUCCAUGAUCGCUCAGGCCCAGGACUUCCUUUUAGCAAGAGUUAAAUGUUUCUUACUAUGAUAACAAGACAAAGAAAUAAAGCGUUGUAUAUUGAAAACUCCAUGAACAUCUGUAAGUCUGCUGGAUUGAUCUCUUGCUCUCUCUCUCUCUACUCAGCUGUGUUGCAUAAUCCCUCAGGAACUGUAAAAAGGACGGAGUUACUGUUUCACAUUUAGUUUCAUCAAUUCCUGCACUUGUGUUUUUCUGAUAUGUUUGUCUCUUUCAAUAUCUCCUGACACUCAGAUUCUCUGUUGGUCAGAUUCCAGGCGCAUUUUGGAGUUAAAUUCUCUGUGUUUGCAUCCUAUGAAUGGCAUGCCAAUUAAUUCUGUAAUGGAAGAGCAAGCCAUUUUUGCUUCAGUUUUUCUGGUACUACUGCUGGUGGCCUUUCCACGUGUUAGAGUAAUAUGAUCUGCAAUUGGAUUUGGAACUUAAGGUUGGAAAUUGAGCAAGGUGUACUUUAGUUCUAGGUACUUUCGUUCCUAAAAAUUGAGCCACCCUCUGUAGAGGACUGUGUGCUGGCAAACGAGAAGUUCCCGAUAAGCCCUGCUCUUGCAAACAAAGCAGGACAUUCCUUCUCUGCAAACAAGAAGGAUAAAGGAGCCAGCUGUAAGCAGCGGGCUCUGGGAACUGGUCAAUGUUUUACUGAUCUUGCGAGUCAAGGAAAGGUCAGAGAAGCAACACAUGUCCUGUGACUUGGCAACAUUCCACAAACGGCUGGAUAAAAAUAAAGCAGUGUGUGCCGUUCGGGGUGGCUGCCAUGUAUGUCUUGUCCUGUGUUGUCUUGUGUGUUCAUUCCUUUGUUUAGGAAACACGCGGACCCCAACAACUGGCGCAGCGAGCAGGGUCCGUGGCUCCAAGAGAGCAAGGAACCGGAGGGGGAGCACCCCGGGUGUGUAAGUAAAACAAAAAAAGGGGGACCCACGGGGAAAUUAUGGGGAAUUCCACCUCUCUGGCCUCAGAAUAUUUACGGUUGCUUCAAGGACUGUUGCUGUCUAUAGGAGUAGAAGUGAAAGAAAAAGACUUUGAAGCGAUUGUUUGCCCAUGUUGAACAACAUUGUUACUGGUUUCAGUAUCAGACUAAAGUGCAGCUGAAUCGGAGAGAAUGGUUACAGGUAGUAAAAGUUUUGCUUAGAGCUCACCAGUUAGGGGAUACUAUGCCUCUAAAUUUGUGGACCUUGUGUAACUCUAUCACUCAGGCAUUAGAGUUACUUGAGACUGAUUCAGAGUGUGGUGAUGUAGCCACAGGAGGAAAGGCAUCUGAGGAUUUGGGAAAAAAUAAAUCUAAAAUGGAGCCCAUUUAUGCCAGGGUAACAGAGGAUGGGGGGUUAGCAAAAGGGGGAGAAGAGGAAGAGCCAGCUCUUCCUUCUUCUAAGGGGAAUUCUGACAUGCAGCGUAUUAUGGGAAUACUUCAACAAAUAUUACAGAUACUUUCUUCUAAUUCACCUUUGGGAGCUUUCCCUGUUUCUUUUCCUUCUGCCUUGUUAGAAGAGGAUUUUCCAGUGCCUCCAACCCCCCAGCUUCCUUACCUUUGUCUGACAAAGUUUUCGCAGUGCCUUUCCCGCCACUGGGGGAGGGAGAAAAGGAAAAGAUAAGAAAAUUUAAGGAACUGGAUCUGUUUCCAAUUAUUCGUGCUUCUUUUGCUCCUAAUGCUCAGUUUCCAAAUGGUGGCAAUAAUGUCCAAUUUAAUGCCUUACAAUUUAAAUUUUUGAAAGAAAUGAAAGCUGCCAUUUCUAACUAUGGACCUCAAUCUCCUUUUAUCCUUGGUCUUCUUGAUGCUUUUUCAUCAGAAAAUUUGAUGAUUCCUAUAGACUGGGAGACCUUUGGGGAGGCUUUUCUUGAUCGUUCUCAGUGGUUAUAAUUGCACAGCUGGUGAUGGACAAGGCACAUGUACAGGCUAGAAAAAAUGCUACAUGUGAUCCCCAGGAGCCACUGAGGAACAACUCACAGGCAUGGGCCAGUAUGCUACUCUUAUACUCAGGCUGGCCUAGAUGAUGUCGCCCUUACUCAAAUCAAGACUUUGUUUUUAAGGCCUGAAAUAAGGUAGAGAUAGCAGGAAAAUCUUCCCUUUCCUUUGUGAAGAUUUUACAGGGCAGAAAUGAACCAUAUCCAGAUUUCGUAGCCCGUCUUCAGGAUGCUGUCUUAAAAACUGUGGGUGUUGGCCCUGCUUCAAAAAUUUUGUUACAAACAUUGUCUUUUGAAAAUGCUAAUGCUGAGUGUCAAAAAUUGUUGAGACCGUUAAAGGCCAGUGGGGCCAAUUUAGAUAAAUAUAUUAAAACUUGUGCUGGUUUUGGAGGGACUAUUUAUAAUGCUCAAUUAUUUGCUGGAGCUUUGUCUAAAGCCUUAAAAGGAAAUAACAAACAAGGUGUUUGCUUUCAGUGUGGUAAACCUGGACAUUUCAAAAAAGAAUGUCGUAAAAAAAAAUUGAACACUUUUAUCCCUCAAGACAGAAAGUUGCCUUCAGAGGUGUACAAACGUUGUGGUAAAGGUCGACAUUGGACAAAUAAAUGUCGUUCCAAAACUGAUAAAAGUGGAAAUUUACUGUCUCCUCUCCCGGGAAACGGGAGCCGGGGCCCAGAGGCUUAGGGCCCCAACAAUUACAAUACAAGUCUACUACAAUACCCAGUGAGCAAUGGCCUACAACAUCAAGGAAUUAAUUCAAGUCCUCCUUAAGGAUCCCACACCUUACCUACCCCAGUUUCUCAGCUUUAUGCGGCAACUAAGCAGAGCGCCGCUGCUGACUUAACUAUUACUCAGCCUUAUACCUUGUCUCCUAAUAGAGGAGUAUAUAAAUUAGCUAUUAGAGUGUGUGGCCCUUUGCCAAAAGGACAUGUAGGACUUUUGUUAGGUCAAAACAACAGUGCUAUACAGGGGUUAAUGGUAAUUCCAGGAAUCAUUGAUCCUGAUGUUACUAAUAAAAUUCUUAUUAUGGUACAAGUCUCACAAUUUAUACGCCUAGAGGCAGGGGAGUGAAUUGCACAAUUACUUUUAUUGCCUUUUUUCCGUUCCUAUCUAAAGAGGUAUCUCGACAGGGAGGGUUUAGUAACACAGAAAAAACUGUUUUUUGGGAAACUUUAGUUUCUAAUCAAAAGCCCUUAUGUUCAUUACACAUUAAUGGAAUAGUUUUUAAAGGGUUAAUUGAUACGGGGGUGGAUGUGUCUAUCAUUUGUUUAAAUUAGUGGCCUAUACAAUGGGAAAAAAGACAAGUUUCAAUUAUACUCACUGGCUUGGGUGCUGCUUCUGUGGUUUAUCAAAACGUAGAACCUUUAACCUGUGUCGGUCCUAAAGGUCAACAAGGUCAAGUGUUUUUUUAUAUUGUUCCUAUCAAUAUUAAUCUUUGGGGACAAGAUCUUUUACAACAAUUUGGUGCUUUUUUAAACAUUCCUCAUAUUUCCUCAGCUGCCAAAAAUAUGAUGUUCAAAAUGGGCUACAAUCCUUAAACUCAUAGCCACUGUUCACCAGCCUCAAGUUUUAUAAUUAAAGUGAAAAACUACCGCUCCUGUUUAGGUGAAACAGUGGCCAUUAUCUAAAAAAAUAAACAAAACUUAGGACUUUAAAAGAGUAAGUCAAAAAACAAUUAGC
rnacentral:lncRNA from 1 species